GAUGAACGCUGGCGGCGUGCCUAAUACAUGCAAGUCGAGCGAACAGACGAGGAGCUUGCUCCUCUGACGUUAGCGGCGGACGGGUGAGUAACACGUGGAUAACCUACCUAUAAGACUGGGAUAACUUCGGGAAACCGGAGCUAAUACCGGAUAAUAUAUUGAACCGCAUGGUUCAAUAGUGAAAGACGGUUUUGCUGUCACUUAUAGAUGGAUCCGCGCCGCAUUAGCUAGUUGGUAAGGUAACGGCUUACCAAGGCAACGAUGCGUAGCCGACCUGAGAGGGUGAUCGGCCACACUGGAACUGAGACACGGUCCAGACUCUUACGGGAGGCAGCAGUAGGGAAUCUUCCGCAAUGGGGGAAAGCCUGACGGAGCAACGCCGCGUGAGUGAUGAAGGUCUUCGGAUCGUAAAACUCUGUUAUUAGGGAAGAACAAAUGUGUAAGUAACUAUGCACGUCUUGACGGUACCUAAUCAGAAAGCCACGGCUAACUACGUG
rnacentral:rRNA from 1 species